UACGUAGGGUGCAAGCGUUGUCCGGAAUUAUUGGGCGUAAAGAGCUCGUAGGCGGUGCGGUAAGUCUGGAUGUGAAAUCUCCGGGCUCAACUCGGAGUCUGCAUCAGAAACUGCCGUGCUCGAGUGUGGGAGAGGUGAGUGGAAUUCCCGGUGUAGCGGUGAAAUGCGUAGAUAUCGGAAGGAACACCUGUGGCGAAAGCGGCUCACUGGACCAUUACUGACGCUGAUG
rnacentral:rRNA from 1 species